rnacentral:tRNA from 1 species
UUCCUGAUGGUCCAGUGGCUGAGACUCCAAAUUCCUAAUGUGGAAAGCACGGGUUUGAUCCCUGGUCAGGGAA